AGGCGCGAGGUCUGGGACUUACGUUCCCAAAUGGCUGCUGUCUGCUUAAGGAAGGUUGGCGGGCGGUUUACCCUCUCUUUCCUCACGCCUUGGGUAGGCGGACACUUCCGCCCUACCCCGACUUCCCAGCACACCCCGCGCCGUCUCCCUGGCGACGGGGCAAACAGAGACGGUCGCUGGGGGUCUGGCGCGUUCCCUAGGCUGAGACGUUCCUAGCUGUGGCAGGAGAGGGCUGCCCGGCGCCCCGCUCCUCCCCUCGCGAUCGGGAAAGGCAGUGUCCAAUGCUGCUUGGAUGAAUCUUUCUGUAAGUGAAUGAAGCAGUUUCGUCUUGUUUGGAGUGAUGCAGAAAUUCCGAGAGACUGCCAAAUGUGUGAGCGGCUCGGCGGCUGUUUCCACUUACCCAGCGGCCUUGAUUGCAAGAAGAUAUGCGCUUCAACAGAAGCUUGGCAGUGGAAGUUUUGGAACUGUCUAUCUGGUUGCAGACAAGAAAGCCACCCAAGGAGAGGAACUAAAGGUAUUAAAGGAAAUCUCUGUUGGCGAAGUAAAUCCAAACGAGACUGUGCAGGCCAGUCUGGAAGCUCAGCUUCUCUCCAAGCUGGAGCACCCAGCCAUUGUCAAGUUCUAUGCAAGCUUUGUGGACCAAGGGAACUUCUGCAUCAUCACAGAGUACUGUGAGGGAGGAGAUCUGGACUACAAAAUUCAAGAAUAUAAAGAAGCUGGAAAUAUCUUUCCAGAAAAUCAAAUAAUGGAAUGGUUUAUCCAGCUGUUGCUGGGAGUUGACUACAUGCACGAAAGGAGGAUACUUCAUCGAGACUUGAAGUCAAAGAAUAUAUUUCUGAAAAACAAUCGACUUAAAAUUGGGGAUUUUGGAGUUUCUCGGCUUCUCGUGGGCUCCUGUGACCUGGCCACCACUCUCACUGGAACUCCCCAUUACAUGAGUCCUGAGGCUCUGAAACACCAAGGCUAUGACACCAAGUCGGACAUCUGGUCGCUGGCAUGCAUUUUAUAUGAGAUGUGCUGCAUGAGUCACGCAUUCACUGGCUCCAAUUUCUUGUCCAUUGUCUUAAAAAUCGUUGAGGGUGACACACCUUCCCUCCCCGAGAGACAUCCAAGAGAACUAAAUGCCAUUAUGGAAAGCAUGUUGAACAAGAAUCCAUCUCUGAGACCAUCUGCUAUAGAAAUUUUGAAAAUCCCCUAUAUUGAUGAGCAACUACAGCACCUAAUGUGUAGAUAUUCAGAGAUGGUUCCAGUAGAUAAGAAUCUGGAUCGUCAGAAGGAGACUGCUCGUAUAAUUAAUGCUGUAAAGACUGUGGAAGGAAAAUGUGAAGAAAACACCAAACGAAGGCAAGAACUGAGAUCUCAGAACUUUGAGCAGCUGAGCAGUGAUGUGCCCCGUGACUUCAAUCAACCGACUUCAGAGGGCCUGCCUGUGUCUCAGCUUCUUCCAAAGACUUCCCCGGGCCAUGCUGACCGUGAGUCAGGCAUAGAGGACACCAGAGCUGACCUUGGGCAUCACGUAAUCCCAGAAGACCCGUUUGUGGCUGAAGAGUAUUAUGCUGAUGUGUUUGAUUCCUGUUCUGAAGAGAGUGAGGAGCAGGAAGAAGAAAUCUUGUUCUCAGGACCAGAGCGGGAGGUCAAGGAUGGUUACAGAACAAACCAACAGGACAGUGAUAUCGAAGCUUUGAUCAGGUGUUUGGAAAACGUUCUGAGUUGCACUUCUCUAGACACAAGGACCAUCACCACCAGCGUGGCUGCAGACACGUCCCCAGGAACAGCCGUUGUCAGCAGCGCCUUGGCGGGGACCAAGGUGAAGCGCCUGAGGGAAUUGGCUGUACAGAAGCUGGGAGCAGAAGUCUUUGAGGAAGUCUACACUUACCUCAAGAGAGCAAGGCAUCAGAACACCAGCGAAGCAGAGAUCCAGGAACAUCUAGAAAAAGUGGUGCCUCAGGCCAGUGACUGCUUUGAGGUUGACCAGCUCCUGUACUUUGAGGAACAAUUACUAAUUGCCACAGGGAGAGAGUCUGCAUUCUAGAGCCAUCUCUAAGGAACUUUCAAAAACAACCAGCAGUUGAAGUAGACAAAUUUCUAUGAAAAUCCAGGAAACAAUUCCACCAAACUUUACAGGAAAUGGUUGCUUUCAUAGACUCAAUUAUCAAACCAAGUUUUUUCUCACUCCACAACCAAAGGACCACAAGAUACCUAAAUGACCUCAACUCCUGCAGGGUUCAAGAACUGUGGACAUCACUCUCUAUGUUCUCGCAACUCCCUUACCACUGGAAGGGUGAUGGGACAGCUCAGAUCUUCACUCUGCCUCCUCCCGAAGCUAGUGAAGUCCAUUCUCAUCCCCCUUCCCUGCAUGCAGAGGAAAAGUCCCAGCUAGAAGACUGGGAAACAGGAGCAUGCCAGUGCUUUCACAGCCCCUGUGUCUGGGUCAGGAAAAGCAAGCCUCAAAUACUGGUUCCCAGAUGUAAGAGGUGAAAUUUUUCAGAAUUCUGAGCUUGAGCAUAUUUCCUAAGUCAAAUGCCAAGACCCAUGGCUGUUACCAUGGCUGAAUAUUGAAAAUCAAGUUUGCCCUAGGAAAUCCCUCAGGCUGGUCAACUUUUCUUCACCAUUACAAAACUCUGGAGAGAAGCUAUUUAUGAAGAAGGUUCAUUUUUUGGCUCAUGGUUUUGGAGGUUCACAGUCCAAGAUUGGGUGGCUCCAUUAUUUUGGCCGUCUAAUGAGGUCAGAGCACACAUGGAGGAUGGAUUACAUGAUGAUCCAGGGGACAGAAAGACAGGCUGAAACCGACUCAUGCUUUCUAACAAACCCUUUCACAAGCACUACCUUCUGCAGGUGAGCCCCGAGUGACCAAAGCCCUCCUACGAGACUCACCUCCUGGACAACACAACUGGAUUACGCUUCCACUCUCUUAGUACCAUCACCUUAGGACUUGGGGUUUAAGCAUCUGUCUGAGUGCAGGAGCUGUAUCCUGUCAAAAUCAGCAUUGAUGAGGUAUGGGGCCUGUGACCACCCCACUGGGUGUGGGCAUGGACAUUUCCAUCACACCAACAAGGAAAAGACCUCACCCCAGGAAGAGCUUCCCAGAGCCCCAUGCCCUUUUGGACCAACACUAUUACAAAUGGGACUGGAAGACAGGACCCCAGGAACACUCACUGUAUCACUAGAAUACAAAAUUGCUUGUGUGAGUUCCUGGGUCUAAAGGGGAAAUAGCUAGAUUUUUCCACUAUUUUCCACAGGCAGAUUAAUGUACUCAAGAAACAGUGCUCUACAGUGUAGGUGUUACUAAGAAGACCGGUGCAGACUGACAUCUUACCCUGUGGGACUGUGUGCUGUAUACCACAUCAGACUUUCAGAGUUAAGAAGAAAUAUUAUGUUGGAUCCAUAGCUCCAUACCUCUUGAGAGAAGCUCACGCAAAUGUAUCUUAUUCCCUGGGGUGAAUGUGGGGAAUGAGAUUUAGCAUGACUUCAAAAAAAUUCUUUAUUAUUACUGUUGAGAAAAUACAUCCUCCUUCAGCUAAAGUCUGUCUUAAUUUGGGGCCAUUUCAAUGUAAUAUUAAUAACUAUACAAUUAAUAAAUGAUUUAUUAGCAUAUUAGAGAAUUUAUUAAUUAAUAACUAAUAUUAUAUAUUAAUAUUAAUAACUAAUGAACUGCAAAUAGUGAAAGAAACUGGCUGAGGAGUUAAAAAAAAUUGGACAGGGUCACAAGUGUAAGGGAACGACAGACCUUGCUGCUUUGUGAAAAAUAUCUAUAUUUCACAAAUGCCAAUUGACCUUUCUGCUCUCUAUUUAUGCAGAGGAAAUGCCAUCAGCUAUUUCGGGUGAUGCGGAGAUAAAGCACACAAAGGGGAGUGAUGGAAGUGAAUUAUUCAAUGUCUUCGGGGUUGAGGCAGCAGCAAAAGCUCUAGGUCUAUUAUAAAAGCGUCCAGCCGUCACAGUGGGCUCGGGAUAAAGGAGGCAGACAGAUUAAGCAGCCGCUCAAGCUGGGAAACACUCGGUUCCUCCUUCAAGAUGAUGUGAGAACUAACUGUGGAGCCUGAGAAGUGAGUGGAGUGAGGCCACCGGGUGACGGGUGUGUGGAGGCGGAGGGAGAAGAGCAGGUGUGGACACAGAGUAAAGGAUAUUUUAGAAUGCUUCUGCCUCAACCUGCUGUAAGACAUUGAACUUGAUACUGGAUGACUUGGAUUCUAGACUCCUGCUGUAUUUGUCAACUUUUCAUUACUUAAUUUAAAAUAUCCAAGAGGAGCUUCUUGGGAAGACAAUGGCUAUUUUUGCUCAACAGUUUGGAAGUUCAUAGUUCAAGGUCAGGCAGCCUCAACAGUCUGGCUUGCUAGAGGCUGGCAAAGGCAGAGCAAGCCUGGGGAAAUGGCCACACGGGGAGCCAGGAAGCAGGGAGAAAGGUUAGACAGAACUGGGCUUUAAUAACCAACCCUCUCAAGAUGUUCACCUUCUGAGGGCACGCCCCCAAUGACCUGACGACCUCCCUCCCACCAGGCCUGCUGCAAGUCUUCACACCUAAUCCACCAAACAUCAACACAAAACCUCAGAGUUAAACACCUGUGUGGAUUUAGGGAGGGAAGUCCUGUUCAAGUCAUACUACCUGCCUAUGUCUGCAGAACUAGUAAAAUUCUCUGAUUAAGAGCAGGUGUUCUGGUUCAACAGGUUAAGCUGCAACUUGGGGUGAGCACAUCCCAUAUCAGAUGGGAUCAAGUUCUGCUUCUGCUUCUGGUCCAGCUUCCUGCUAAUGUGCCUCAGAAGCAGCAGAUGAUGGCCCAAGUACGUUGGUUCCUGCCACUCUCAUGGGAGACCUGGACGGAGUUCCAGGCUCCUGGUUUCAGCCCGGCCCACCCUGGCUCUUGUAGACAUUUGAGGAGUGAACCAGUGAAUGGAAGAUUCUCUCUCUUUCUCUCUCUUUCAAAUAAAUUAAGUAAUUAAAAAUAAUGUAAGCUGAAUCUCAUGACAUUGCCAAUGUGCAGAAAUGCUUUAAAUGCUACAAAUUCUCUCCAUUCUGGAGGAGAAAUCACUCACUGUGUUGCCAGGCUACCUGGCCUUCCAUUGGAGAUUGUUUAGUUUUCUAAUAUUCUGCUUUCUUCAUACAAAUGCACCCUGAGCAAAAAACACAUUGAGCCAUUCUCAUCUAGCACUUGACUAGAAAUUAGCUGAGAGCCGGCUAAAGGAUGAGAGAGCCGAGAAGAAAGCAGUUCUGAAAAAGCAAAUGAGUGAGACCAGCUUUGCCUCUACAGAAAAGCUCUGCUCCUUUGACAUUUCAUUAACCUGCUUGUGUAACUCCAAGGUCAUCACCAGAAUGCUUACAUGCUCAGUUCUUCCUUGACUUUGUAAGAAGCUCCAAAAUUUGGUUCAAAAAAUGUAUCUCAUGGGGUCAGCGCUAUGGCAGUGCCGGCAUCCCAUAUGGGCACCGGUUCAAGUCCUAGCUGCUCUACUUCCAAUCCAGCUCCCUGUUAAUGUGAUGGGAAUGCAGCAGAUGGCCCAAGUGCUCAGGCCGCAGCACCCACAAGGGAGACCCAGAUGAAGCGCCAGUUUCCUGACUUUGGCUUGGCCCGGACUGUUGCAGCCAUUUGAAGAGUGAACCAGCAGACGAAAGCUCUCUCUCUCCUUCUCUCUCUGUAACUCUACCUUCCAAAUAAAUGAAUGAAAUCCUUUAAGAAAUGUCCAUGAUAAGGGCCAGUGCUGUGGAGCAGUAAGCUAAGCCCCUGUCUGUGGUGUCAGCAUCCCAUAUGAGCGCUGAUUCCAUACCCCCACUGCUCCUCUUCCAAUCCAGCUCUCUGAUUAUGUCCUGGGAAAGCAAUGGAGGAUGGCCCAAUUCCUUGAGCCCCCUGCCACUCGGGUGGGAGACCCAGAAGUAGCUUUGGCUCCUGGCUAGGGCCUGGCCCAGCCCCGGUCCUUUGGCCACUUUGGGAGUGAAACAGCUGAUGGAAGACCUUUCUGUCUGUCUCUCCCUCUGUCUGUAACUCUAUCUCUCAAAUAAAUAAAGAAUAAAAACAAAAACAAAAACAGUAGAUCACAAAAUAACAUAUUCAUAAAUAUUUAUGAGGAAUAACACAGUAAUUACAUUUAUACUGUGCAACGAUUUGAAUGUCCUCACCAAAAGUCAGCUUGAAAUUUAUUCCCCACUGUGAGGUAUUAAGAGGUGGGACCAGGUGCAACCUUUCCAGAGAGGAUUAUCCA